rnacentral:tRNA from 1 species
ACUGUGAUGGCUGAGUGGUGAAGCCGUUGGACUUGAAAUCCACUGGGAUUUACCUGCGCAGGUUCGAGCGUGGCUCGUCUUC